rnacentral:rRNA from 1 species
GCUGUUGCUGGCCCCUCCCCUUGGAGGGGGGUAUGUGCACGCUUGUCAUAUUUAUUUUCUCCAACUGGCACAUCUUGUAGACCUGGAUUUUUUUUGAUUUGUUCGAUUGAGGACUGCUGAAUAAAAAUUAGCUUUGCCUUGCAUUUCCAGGUCUAUGUUAUUUUCCACAAUCAAUGAAUGUGUUAUAGAAUGUUGAAUUGGGUCAUCAGUACCUAUAAAAGUUAAAUAUACAACUUUCAGCAACGGAUCUCUUGGCUCUCGCAUCGAUGAAGAACGCAGCGAAAUGCGAUAAGUAAUGUGAAUUGCAGAAUUCAGUGAAUCAUCGAAUCUUUGAACGCACCUUGCGCUCCUUGGAAUUCCGAGGAGCAUGCCUGUUUGAGUGUCAUUUAAUUUCUCAACUACACUGUUUCAUUAUGGUGUGGCUUGGAUUAUGGGGGUUCUUGUUUGCAGGCUUUUGAAAUGAAGCCUGCUCCCCUUAAAUGUAUUAGUAGUAUCUGAGCAGGAAACUAUCACAGGCAUGAUAACUAUCUAUGUCUGGGAUGUGCUGCAUGAACAGAUUAAACUGCUUCUAACAAGUGAA